GGACGUAUGCGCAUAUUUGUCCGCCAACACACAAGAAGACAACGGUCAGGUUUAAGCAACAACUUUCUGCAGCUGACACAGUGACCUCAAGCAGCAACUACAACGAACAGUGUCACAAGCAAAGCAAUCUGGUUACUCAGCAACAACUUUCUGCAGCUGACACAGUGACCUCUCAAGCAGCAACUACAGCAAACAGUGUCACAACUACAGCAAACAGUGUCACAACUACAGCAAACAGUGUCAUAACGUUCUAAUAAGCAUGUCUUUUAAGAUGCACUGAAGAUUCCUGAAGCAUGUCAAAUGUGUUAUUUUUUUUCAGGGUGAAAUAUACUUUGUUGUUUUGCAAUGCAAACCCUG